UACGAAGGGGGCGAGCGUUGUUCGGAAUUACUGGGCGUAAAGGGCGCGUAGGCGGCCGAUCAAGUCAGAUGUGAAAGUCCUGGGCUUAACCUGGGGACUGCAUUUGAUACUGAUUGGCUUGAAUUCGGGAGAGGAUAGCGGAAUUCCCAGUGUAGAGGUGAAAUGCGUAGAUAUCUGGAGGAACACCGGUGGCGAAGGCGGCAUCCUGGACCGAUACUG
rnacentral:rRNA from 1 species